AUGCAAGUCGAACGGGCACUCGGGCUUGCUCGAGUGCUAGUGGCGGACGGCUGAUUAACGCGUAGGUGACCUGUCCCGAAGUGGGGAAUAACUGCCCGAAAGGGUGGCUAAUACCGCAUAUGUCCGUGCGUUCAUUCGUACGUGCAAAGCCGUAAGGCGCUUUGGGAGGGGCCUGCGUCCGAUUAGCUCGUUGGUGGGGUAACGGCUCACCAAGGCGACGAUCGGUAGGUGGUCUGAGAGGACGAUCACCCAGACUGGGACUGAGACACGACCCAGACUCCUACGGGAGGCAGCAGUCGGGAAUUUUGCUCAAUGGGCGCAAGCCUGAAGCAGCAACGCCGCGUGAGGGAUGAAGGCCUUCGGGUUGUAAACCUCUUUUUCCAGGGACGAUGAUGACGGUACCUGGAGAAUAAGCCACGGCUAACUACGUGCCAGCAGCCGCGGUAAUACGUAGGUGGCAAGCGUUGUCC
rnacentral:rRNA from 1 species